GAAACUACUUGAUCUUCUACUUCUGUGAAGAUAAAUAUGUAACACAAAAGAUCAGAUGAUUUACAAAUUCUUCAUAUGAUUAAUGAUUGCGAACAAAACACAGAUAAAGUUGCCUAAAAAAAGCUGCCUGCAUGAACGUGAUAGAGCAGAUAACAUGCUCAUUACAGCAUUUAAGUUUCCAUCAAUUUCAGGGAGCUCCCCUGUUUUGUAGAUGUUACACUUAUCUCUCUCCCACCUGUGGUUCAUGUCGAAGGAUCCCCUUUCCAAAGAGUGGAUUAUGAAAAUCGACUCUUAUUCUCUCAAGACUGAAGGAAAUGAAUA
rnacentral:misc_RNA from 1 species